UUUCAGUCUGAAGAAGUAUCUAAACAGAAUACUACUCAACGUCCACUUAGCUUUCGGGAACAAAGGUUUCGAGAUUUUGCUUCAGUUGAAUAUGAAGGUCAUUUAUACAUGACACCUCAAGACUUUCUAGAAUCAGUUUUGGAAGACACCCCAAGAUCUCGAAUUGGUCAUACAAAACUGAGAAAGCAAGAUGUUGAUGAAAUGCUUAAAAAGACACCAAAUAAGUCAAGAAUGUCUCAGCAUUUGUUCCGGUCCCUCCAUAG
rnacentral:lncRNA from 1 species